rnacentral:sRNA from 1 species
AAAGCAGAUAGAUUAUGGCAAGUGCACACCUGGCUACCAGUGCUUUCUGCACCAGGUCCUCAAGCAGGGAAUGAAGAGUCUCUUAGAGCCAAUGGAUUCCACUCCUUUGGAUGACCGGCUCCAGGCCCUGGAGCCCUCAGAAUAUGGAUGGAGAGGGAAAUAGGCAGUGCAAGGUAAAUCUCUCCACCCCUAUUUUCUCAGUUAGUACUGUACCUCACUUUUCCUCUACUCUUUUUCAGUUUGCAGACUUGGUGGCUCCUGCCUCCUCCCCUCCCUGGCUCAGUGAGGAAGACCCCCGCCACUGGCUCUACUUUCCAGCUGAUCACAGCUAUUUACCUGUCCCAGUCUUGAGUAAGGCACAAAAUAUGUACAGAAAACAGAUGUCUUUCAGAGGACUUGCUGCUAAGUGUAAUAGUGAAGAUUACUUGCAUUACUGCUACUUUCCAAUCAAUUAAA